rnacentral:ncRNA from 17 species
AUUUUCGAGACAAUGGUAUAUGAUAGCGAGCGAGUGCCGUGCCAAGGCGCGAUGCUCCCCGCUUCUCCUCCCUGAGCGGGUGCCUGUCGUUAAUCGAUUAGGCUGUUUGACCCGCCGCGAAACGGCGGGUUUUUUUAUGCGCCAACCGACGGCAAGCCU